rnacentral:rRNA from 1 species
CCUACGGGUGGCAGCAGUGGGGAAUAUUGGGCAAUGGGCGCAAGCCUGACCCAGCAACGCCGCGUGAAGGAAGAAGGCUUUCGGGUUGUAAACUUCUUUUCUCAGGGACGAAGCAAGUGACGGUACCUGAGGAAUAAGCCACGGCUAACUACGUGCCAGCAGCCGCGGUAAUACGGAGGGGGCAAGCGUUAUCCGGAUUUACUGGGUGUAAAGGGUGAGUAGGCGGGAAAGCAAGUCAGAUGUGAAAACCAUGGGCUCAACCUGUGGACUGCAUUUGAUACUGGUAUUCUUGAGUACUGGAGAGGCAGACGGAAUUCCUGGUGUAGCGGUGAAAUGCGUAGAUAUUAGGAGGAACACCAGUGGCGAAGGCGGUCUACUGGACCGCAACUGACGCUGAGGCGCGAAAGCGUGGGUAGCAAACAGGAUUAGAUACCCUUGUAGUC